AGUUACUGUGGAAGUAAGAAACUGUGUUAACCUAGAUUUUUUUCAGAAGUUUGGUCCUAGUCCUUGAAUUAAGUAACUGAAAAAUGAGAUGCAUGAUCACAGUUCUCUAUUUCCAAUUUGACUGUUUUAGACAGGCUAAAAGAAGACGGCGGACUUUCUCCUUUUCCAAAUUAAAUUUUUGUAUAAAAUAUAUAACUUAAUUCCUCUGAAUGGUUUUCUUGCAUACCCAUCUUAUUUCCCAGGCACAUAAAUUGAUGGAAUGAGUUACAUCUUUAACCAUAGGACUGACUGUCAUGGACCACAGCCACUGAAAUGUGGCUUCUGAAAGAAGUGGGACAGCGACUGACAGAUAUCCAGAGAAGAAGAAACUGGUAUCAUGGUGCAGGAGUAGAGACCCAGUUUGUUUCUCUGAGCCAAAAGGACUGCAGCAUAGUGGUGAUCAGGAUGUAUUUGAUAAAGUUCAUAACAAGGAGGUAGACAGAGAUCAAGCCUUGGAAGAUACUCCCUAGGAAAUGUGGCAUCUCCAUCUCCUGCCAUGUAGAUCAGCUACUGGAAUGGCUUGAGCCAAACACAAACUACUGGAUUUAGUAGAAGAAUAAAUGACUAGCAGAUUAAAAGAGCCUAUAAAAUACUGGUGGUCUGGCUCAAAGAUCUAGUGGAUGUUUCUGGAGUUAAACAAGAGGAGUCAAUGGCCAUGGUCACAGCAGAGGCAUUGACACAGACUCCACAAGUUACACAUUGGAUCUUACUCCUGUUCCUCUUGGUAUCUGCUGCCUUGAACAGUGACAAACAACUUUGGUGCCUU